rnacentral:rRNA from 1 species
UACGAAGGGUGCAAGCGUUACUCGGAAUUACUGGGCGUAAAGCGUGCGUAGGCGGUUUGUUAAGUCUGUCGUGAAAGCCCCGGGCUCAACCUGGGAAUGGCGAUGGAUACUGGCGAGCUAGAGUACGGUAGAGGAGAGUGGAAUUCCCGGUGUAGGCAGUGAAAUGCCGUAGAGAUCGGGAAGGAACAUCAGUUGCGGAAGGACGGCUCUCUGGACCAGUACGUGACGC